ensembl:lncRNA
AGCGUUCCAAGGCUCCGGGGUGCAAGUGGAGACGAAAGCCCCUUAGGCCCAGAGAGCUGGGGGCUCGCUUUCCUCCGCCGCCCGCGUCCCACGCCUUGGAGCCCCCGGAGCCGGUGCGGGGAAGCCCCGAGGCGGCCGGCGCUGGAGGCUGAGUUGCACCCCUCGCCCGGAUGGCGGCGCUCGGUUGUCUCCCCAGACUGGCACCCGACCAGAUUCCCCAGGGCACCCAGUAAAUGCUGCCCGCGCCUGUCGCAGCCCUUACGCCUUCACCUAGCAACUGAAGCCUCAGCGGGAAGAGCAGCUGGGUCCUUUCUGGAGGGAGAGGAGCCGCCGGCCUCCACUCUGCAGUUCAAGCUGCAGCUCCAAGGCCACCGUGAGCCCCUCACCUCUGGCGCCCAAACCCUGGGGAGGCUGGGGUGCAGGCCUGAGACCUCGGAUGCAUCUUUCCAAGGCCGCACAGCCUGAAGCAGCACCACAGGAGGAGAAACCAGCGCCCAAAGCUCUGGCCCAAACCCUGCACUCCAGGCCAGCUUCGAGCUGACAGGAUCAAAGCCAGAAGCUCCUACUUCCGCCUCCUGGGCCCCUGCCUGCUGUGUCCCCUCCACAGGCCUCUUGGGCUCACUCCCUGGGUCAGGCUCCUCCCUGCCACUUGGUCCUGGCACCUGCUGCCCUUGGAGAUGCCACUCGGACCCCACACACGCCACCACAGCUCAGCGCCUUGUCAUCAGCUGUCAUAUCCGCACAGCACAGUGUAGGUCUGAUGGAUGAGCACAAGGCCGGGGUCCUGCCUUCGUCCCCCCACCCUGCUGCCUUGGCCUAGACCACCACAGCCUCACCUGUGCCCCUGCAGGAGGCACCUCACUGCUUCCCACACUCACAAACUUAUAAUCCCAGCACUCAGGAGGCUGAGGCAGGAGGAUCACCGAGACUUCAAGGCCAGCCUGGGCUACACACCUGAGUGCUAUCCUGUUGAGGGCUCCUCCUGGCCCCUGCCACCGAAGGCCCUGCACCUCCUGGUCUUGAGUGCACAGAGAUUCUGACGACUCACCAUGCAGCCAUCUCUCCACUGGCACCAGAGGCCACUUUGCCACUGGCCAGGCCUGGGCAGCGGCCCCGGAACAGAGCGUGACCUCCGCUGGACCCAGGUUCCAGCCCCCGCCCAGAGGGACACAGAGUCCAGUUGUCAGAUUCCUGGAAAAAGCUGCCUAAGGGAGUUUAAUGAGUGACCUGCAGGGCUAUUUUCCCCAAUGUGCAGAGGUGCCUCGGUCAGUGACACGAGGGGCUGGCGACACCAGGGUUGGUGGCUGGACGGCCCUUAGCCAAUGACAGGAAAUGCCGCUCUGGGUGUUGGCUCUGGCAACGGCAGGUGUGGGAGGCUUUCGCGGGUAGCUACACCCCAGCCUGUUUAUUUGUUUUACACAAAGUCUGGGUGACUUGCUAAAUUGCUGGGGCAGGCUCUAAGUUGCAAUCUUCCUGCCUCAGCCUCCCAAAGUGCUAGAACACAGAUGUGUGCCACCACGCCCCACAGCACUCCCUGAGGCCCCUGCUGGUCUUCCUGCCCCUGGGCUCUGUUUCCUCCUGAGUGGGCAGUUACAGCCCUAGGCUGUGGAACAAGAUGGGUGUGCCUGGUUGAGUUUUCCCCUCCAGGCUGUGUGUGCUUAGACAAGGGCCUCCCCUUCUCUGAGCCCCCCUUCCUGGUGAAAUGUGGACGCGAUUUCUUGCCUCUGGAGGUCCUAGUAUUAAAGGGAAGCAACUCCCAACUUAUCCAAGAAUGGAGUCCAGGACAAAGGAGGUGAAGAGCAGGAAAGGUUUAUUAAGAGAAAGCUCUUGCGAGACGGAAGGCUUCCGAGAGCGGGUGGCGGCUGAGGCUCUUGGUCUAGGGGUUCUGAUACAGGGAAAUCACAUCACAGGCUACCAAGGGCUCAACUAUCAUCAGCCUGUAGGAUUCCAAGUGGCCACUUAGCUAACAUAGAUCUAGUGGAAAAACAAAAGUGCUUGGCAAAGGUACGCAGCAGAAGAAGAGCAAGGGGGUUCUGGAAGGGACAAGGGGAGCCUCAGAGUGUUCUGGUCCUCUACACGUUACAUUGUUUCUCUGUGUUACAUUGUUUCUAUGUGUGUUACAUUGUUUCUCUGUGUUGCAUUGUUUCUAUGUGUGUUACAUUGUUUGUUUCUCUGUGUUGCAUUGGUUUUCUGUGUGUUACAUUGUUUCUUUGUGUGUGCUACAUUGUUCAG